GUACUACCAACUUAAUUUGAACACUUUUAGGUGCGUCUUGUAGUGACGGACCAGUUUCUGAUCUUUGUUGGACGGGACAGGGUCACCACUCCCUUGUAUAUCAGGAUUUGUGUAUUUUAAUGGGAUUAAUGGAUAUAUACCGUGCGUCUUGUAGUGACGAACCAGUUCCUGAUCUUUGUUGGACGGGACAGGGUCACCACUCCCUUGUAUAUCAGGAUUUGUGUAUUUUAAAGUCAUUUAUUGAUAUUUUCGGUAAAGUACAAGUACUGACAACUUAAUUUGAACACUUUUAGGUGUGUCUUGUUGUCACGGAUGCUUGUGUUAAAAUUGGCUACAGGCAAGGACAACCUCAGCCUAACAUGUGUUAAUCAUUUGAUUGUUGACUGUUGAGUUGGGGGACUACUGUUUGUUAUCCAUUGUACCUGUUGAAUGGACACAAUGCAGUAUCAACUCGGUUGCAAUGGAAGUUGAUGUUCUCGUUUUCCUGGUGUAUGGCAGCUUAAGUGAAGCAUGGAUUUCAACAAAUAAGCGAGUAGGAAACUUGCCAUUAUUGAUUCUACCAGAUAACACUGCUAUUUUUCCAUUACUAAAUGCAGUUUUGUUUUUAUUGAUAAUUCUAUUUAUUGUAGCUUUUGCGAGCAAGUGACAGCAUUAAUGUUUUGCUAUAAAUAUAAUAUUGCAUUAAUGAAUAUUAUUACAGUCUCCAUGAAAAUGAUUACUUUGUUAUGAAUUAAAGUUUAUGAUAAUUUAGUCUCACAUGAUUAAGUGAGAAACAGGAAGGGAAUACGCUAACUUUGCACACGAUGAAUUUUGUUCUGAAAGAGUGAAGGUGUUGAUAAAACUUUGUAUAUAUAGAUGGCAAAAAGCAUCUGUUGAACCUAAAUUAUGACUAAAAUUAUUAUUAUAGGCAUAUAAAAUAAUAUCUUAUGUUUGAUGUAAUACACAAUAGUCUCUAGAGCUUUUGUUUUAUCCCCUUUUGACUUCAUCACAAAAUAAA